UUGCUGUGAUGACCAUCUUAGGACACCUUUGGAAUUCACCAUGAAAACAAACUUUGUUUACCUGAGCAAC